rnacentral:lncRNA from 1 species
CGCAAGACACGGCCGUGCGAUGGCCAAAUAGGCCGUGUGUGACACACUGGAUAGACUGAUUUGGGUUGUGUAGGCUACACGGGCGUGCGGGAUUUUGGGCUAGAUCACAUGGCUAGGGCAAAUUUGGGCCGUGUGGGCCCACACAGGCAGGCCACAUGGGCGUGUGAGCCCAUUUUUACUGAAAUGUUUGUUACGGUUGUAC